AUUACGUUACUACGCUUGGAACUUUAAUGAACUCGGCAGGAUGUGUAGUGUUAAUUUCAGUUUUGAGUUUGUUAGCACAGAGUAACACUAAUUUCAGACCAGUUUUCUGAUUUCAUCUUUUUAAUUACAGUUUUCAUUUAAGCAACUAUAUCCGUAUAAUAACCAUACCAGCGCAAAAAGGUACCCCUCUCAUAUGACAACAGGGAGCUGAAAUUCACUGCAAUAUGCUGGACUUUAAUGGCGGCCUCUACUGCAUUCCGGACAUCCUUCCUGCCUCCAUCUGGGCAGUGAGCUAGAACAGCGCCCCCAGGGGCCAACACUGACCUGCUGCAGCCCGAGUCAGCUUUACGCAACUGACCACCCACUAACUCCUCACCGAGUGUAACUCCCUCAGCAGAGCUUCUGAAGGAUAGGAGAGGCAGCACAGGGCCUGGAGGAGGUGAAAUCACAGACUCGCAGGAGGGAGCCAGACCACAUAGUACAGUAGGGGGGUAGAGACCACCAGUAGAAGGAGGAGAACAUGGCU